UUAGGAAUCUGCUAUUUGCUCCAAAGAGUAGCCAGUUUCAAAAAGCAAUUUCCAAUACAAAAAGAUAUGACAUAACCUGAAAGACAGCUUUCACACAAAUGUUUAUCUAUUUAAGUAUGGAUUUGGAAUAGAUCUUUCAUACAGAAGCAACAUUUUACCAAGAAAUUCCAGAUAAUUCAGAACAUUUCCACUAUACAGACCAAAACGCAUUCUAGUUGUGUACACUUAUCUAGAAACCUAAAUCUAAUAAAAAUAGACUAAAGUAAUACUGCUUUAAAGAUACAUUAUCCUACAAAAUACCACAUUAUAAUAUGCAAAACCCAAUAGUGUUCUUCAAAUAGUCUACCAUAUUUGAACUUUCCAUUGUACCCAUCCAGCAUAAUUCAUUUACCAUUAGCCAACAUUAUGAUUUGUUUAGACAAAUCUAAGUUAUUUUCUAGAUCUUGAAUCAGAACAUUUAAAAGACCACAUUACACUGUCACAGAGGCAUUCUCUCAUGUGAAUUUGGUGCUCACAAGAGUGUUACCUACAUACACAACCAAAUGAAGAAAGAAGCAGAUACUGCUUUUCCAUACAGAACUGACAAUUGUGAUCUGAAUCACCCCAUAAUUCUAGAUUUAUGCCGUUCUUGAAAAAAAAAUCAAUUCUGCCACAUUCCCCACUGGUUUUGCACUGUAGACAAAUAUCCACUAGAGACUAGGAUGAGACCCAAUUUAGGUCACAAGUGAAAAUAAGCAAUGAGGUUCUCUAAAGGUGGAAAAAGAUGCACUGACCUACUUCUCUAACCCCAGCAGUGAGAGUUGGGAAGGGAAGCUUGAAGCGAUACACAAGUCUAAGGACACAAGAUAAUACAGCAAGAACCAAGAUAUUUUCUCCCCCCAAGAAAGAGGAAAAUUCAGAGAAUAGAUUCAUGUUUCACAGAUUCCAACAUCCGAAGGGACAACUGAGAUUAUCUAAUCCAACCGCCUGUAUUAACACAGAAUCCAGAUGCAUUCUUCUUAGGACCCAUUUUGAAGCACAUUUUCCUAUAGUCUACAGCACCUAAGAAAAAGCUACAGUAGUUUUGAGUACAUCACCAAUCUGCAGUUAUGAUUAAAGUAACACUGGUUUACAUAAACACUUUUCAUACAGUUACAUUCCUUAUGUUAGGAUAAAAUGCCCUUAUCACUAUUUAAACUUCACUUUUGCCAACUCCUCCUUCCUACGCUUUUACAGGGGAAAAACUGAUACAAACACAUUUUAUAUUUUUUUCCAGCACAGCUUCCUUUUCCAUCAUGGCCGCAUAUUCACUUUGGAAAAGAGCAAAAGGCUUCUUGUAAAGCUAAGAGCAAAGAGGCACCCUCCAGGCCCUCUCACUGAAAGAUGCCCACAAUUGUUCCUGUCCACUAUCAACAGUGGAUAACUCAACUGUAUCUCUAAGAGAGGCUGUAAUGAUUAGCUGUAUUUCCUAUUAUUGAGAAGUGGGUCUAUUCAAACCAGAGGGAAUUAGAGUGAAGGCAUGCCAGGAUCCUCUGACACACACAUCAACUGGUGAAACAACGUGAACCACAAAGGAGAAUUUGAUUGACACAAAUGCUGCAGUCAGCUCACCAAGUAAGAAGUGUUGUGUUUACACCUUGCAUCCAGAUGGCCUAUGAGGGUACAAACAUCAACAUCACAACCUUAAUCGUGCCAUUGCUUUUAUUUCUGCCCCCGCCCAAAGGCACACAAGCUUGACGUUAAUUCGUGGUCACUGUCGCAGCAGAACACUCGUUGCACACACUGAGGGAGCCAUCGCUCAUGUCUGCAAAGCGCCCCCAGACGCUGGCACGUUAAAGGCGAGUCAGUAUCCAGCUCACUCCUGUUUCCCAUCCUCCGCUCCGAGGCCCCUGGAGCCAAAGCCCCGCGCCGGGGCUCAGAGCCAACAGCCCGGAGCACAAAGAGGCGGGAGCCGCCGGGCGGUCUGCGAGAAGAAAACACGGCUCCGCGACCACGGGCACUCCACGCCCACCCGAGCGCGCCGCCUACUCCGCGCAACUCGCACGAGCCGCGCAGGGGCCAGGCUCUGCCCCCGGGGAGCGGGCGCAGCGCGGCGCUCGAGGCCGCAGCCAGGCCGUGAGCGGCGCCGAGCCAAGACAGGCCCUUUGGAUCAUCUGCUCAGACCUGCUCCCAGCUCCCUCUAGCUGCAGUUGCACCUGUCCUUGGAUCAUGGUGGAAGAUCUGAUAACUUGCUGCAACUAACUGCUGCAUCACAACACCUAUAUAUAUUGCAGUGGUCAGUGACGGUGUAUGAGAGGAAUAAGAUAAAAUUGUGUGGGACACUGAGUGAGGCGGGGUCCUGUGGAAAAAAUAGUAUGUUAUGUGAUUAAAGACUGUAUCAAAAUACAUAUGUACAAGGGGGCUGAAUUUAGGUUGUACAGGCAAUGUUAGUUCUGGCAUUUCCUAACUUUUAAGUGCUUAACUUUGCCACCUUAACUUUCUUUUAAUAUAUUUUCAUAAGUAAUUUCCUAGGUGUCUAAAAAAGCACACUGAAAGCAGAGACUCCCUCAAAUGAAACUAUAUUAAAUCUCACAUGGUUCAGCACCAGGAGUAGAACCAUUAGAUCCACAGCCCAGACCUCUUGGUCUUACAGAAUAACUGAUAGCAGUGGUAGGUUGUCAUGCUCUAUGCAUCAGCCACUAGAGAGAGAGAAAGCAUUCAGUUUGCAGUGGGUUUCACAGCCAUGUGCUGACAGCAGAGAAACGUUGAAAUUAGGAAUCUUGAUUCUAUUCUAGGUCUUGAGGGAACUGUACUCUAAUGGUUACAGACCCUUCUACCCGUUCCCCCCAAGUCUGAUCCUUUCUGCUCCUAUGCCCUACUGUCUCUUUGUCUCAGUCACCUCCAUCUACCUCACAGUACUGUUCUACUUUUCCCCCUUGCUACCUCCCCUUGGCCAAGUCUCCCCACUUGUCACCCCCCUA